UACGGAGGGUGCGAGCGUUGUCCGGAAUCAUUGGGCGUAAAGGGCGCGUAGGUGGCGCGGUAAGCGUGCGGUGAAAGCCUGGGGCUCAACCCCGGGUCGGCCGUGCGAACUGCUGGGCUUGAGCACUGUAGAGGCAGGCGGAAUUCCGGGUGUAGCGGUGGAAUGCGUAGAGAUCCGGAAGAACACCGGUGGCGAAGGCGGUUCUCUGGGCCUUACCUGACGCUGAGGAGCGAAAGCGUGGGGAGCAAACAGG
rnacentral:rRNA from 1 species